rnacentral:misc_RNA from 1 species
AAAAGCUAUGGUCAUUGGCAGACCAGUUUUACUUGCUUUAGAAGAUGUUGAUGGAUCUCCGUCUUUCCUAGAAAAGGCUCUUAGGUAUAUAGAAGAGCACGGAGUCAAGGUGGAAGGAAUUUUACGUCAAGCUGCAGCUGUUGAUGAUGUUGAGCAUCGAAUUCAGGAAUAUGAACAAGGAAAAUCAGAGUUCUCUCCAGAGGAAGAUGCACAUGUGAUUGCUGAUUGUGUCAAGUUUUUCCUCCGUGAGUUGCCAUCCUCUCCAGUCCCUGCAUCUUGCUGCAAAGCACUGCUAGAAGCAUUUCGAAAAGAUCGUGGCAUUCGAGUUAAUGCCAUGCGAGUAGCAAUAUUAGAAACCUUCCCUGAGCCAAACCGUCGCUUAUUACAAAGAAUUCUGUUGAUGAUGCAAACUGUGGCUUCCCACAAAGCUGAGAAUCGAAUGAGCACUUCAGCUGUUGCUGCUUGUAUGGCACCUUUACUUCUGCGUCCCCUUCUAGCUGGUGAGUGUGAAAUUGAAAAUGAUUUUGAUGUGGGAGGUGAUGGUUCUCUUCAACUUCUGCAAGCAGCUGCUGCAGCUAAUCAUGCUCAAGCAAUUGUUAUAAUAUUAUUGGAGGAGUAUGAUAAGAUAUUCAGUGAAGGAAUCAUGUCCCCUGGAUUAUACUCCGACUCAGAUGAGUAUGAAAGUGAGGAUGAGGAGGUAACAGAUGAUGAUGAAUCCUAUGAAGAUGAUGAUGAGGAUGAUGCAUCACAAGAGUCUGAUGCAUAUUCAGAUGAUGAUCUUGGAAAUGCAUCAACUGGAACUGACAGUGGUGAAUCAGAGGACAAUGAUAUAUCUCACAGUAAGGGUGAUGAUCAUAGCCCCGAUUCCAAGUCCACUCAAGUAGAUAAUGAUUGUAGAGUUGAAGAAUUGUCAAAUUCAGUUCAAAUUUCAUUACCCUCACAUCAUGAUGCAGGC